ensembl:lncRNA
AUCUCCAACGUGUGUGUGUAUAUGUAAACAUAUAUAUAUAUGCAUACACGUGUGUGUAUGUGUGUGUAUGUAUAUAUAUAUACAUACACACACAUACACACAUAUUCACUCACACUGUUUCGUUUCUCCUUCCAUAAGUUUUCUCCUUUUUAAAAAUUUGGCCCCAACAAACGUCAAGUUCUGGUGUUUUAAUACAAGUGAAUUACUAAGAGGGUCGUGUUCAAUCUUAAUUAACUUAUGCUCUCAUCACUCAUUUUAUUUAAUUGCCACAGUCAUCUAGAGCCAAUUUUUUUUUGUUUUUGUUUGUUUUGUUUUGUUUUUAAGCACUCUGGAUAAAAAAAAUACACACUUGUUUUUAUAUCGUUAUUAUGUACAAUGUGAAAACAGAUUUUUAAAAAUUUGUUGUCUUUGUUAACAAAUUCUUUCUGACUCAUGUGCGUUCACCUCUCACUUUUGCUGGAUACUUAUUUCCCACCAUGUUAUAAAGAUGCUUCGUUUUCAUUUCAUGACUUUGGACUACAAGAAUACUUUGUUUUAGCUCCAGGUAGAUGCCUCUGAGGGCGUUCAUGACCAACACCAGUUCUAACACACUUACCAGUGAAUUGACAAAACACUUUUGUUUAGUCUUUUUUUGUUUGUUUUUUUAUCUUGUUUUAUUUGAAGAGGAAAAUCAAAUUGUUAAUGGUGACCUUUAACAGCUGAAAUUCAAGCGUUGAUUUUAAUGUUACCUAGUUAGGUUUAUGUCAGAGAGAUGAAAAUGUGCAUGGGUUGAAACAAAGAGCAAGUUCAAAGCUUUGCAUUCUGUUCUCUUGUUUUGAUGUCCAGUUCACUGAGGGUCACAAUUGUUUUGCCUUAACUUCCCCCACCCCCCCAAAAAAAAACAAAAAAAUCAUGUUAGUGUUUAAAAUGCUUUGAAGUCAUUUGAUAAAGGUGCUAUGAAUGGCAAAGUAUUGGGUUAGCACAUUGCCUUUGGGGCAUUUGAUUGGUUUAUAAGUUUUGUAAAAGAUCCUAAAACCUGUAUUCUUUUUCUGUGCCCCUUAAUGACCAAAAAAGACAAGGGCAAGGAAAUGAGAGUAAGAUCAAACUCAAAUGAACAUAAAGUUUCCCUUCUCUUUCAUUCCCUACCUACCAACCUGUUCACUUUUUGCAUACCACCCCCAUCCCCGUCUCUCUCUCUCUCUCAUACACACACACACACACACACGCACACACCAGCACACACGCUCACCCCAGUACUGAGGGAUAAUCUUGCCAGAAUUCUGUUUUUGUUUUUGUUUAUGGCUGUUGUAAUCAAUUUUUCUAAAAAUACUCAUAUUUUAAUAUGAAUCUAGGAGAGCAUCACUGGAGAAAAUAGGUUACAGUUACUCAUAUAUAAGAUACUAAGAAUUUGGCCAAUAACUACAAUUGAAUAAAACACAAGACUAUUCUUCAGUCCGCUUAUACCUAAAUUAGUUGUCAAUUCUAACGUUCAUUUGGCAUAUGCAGUUAAGAGUUAACCAUGUAUAAAAUCCCUCCCAAAGAGCGUAAUCAUUAUUGCAACCAAAUCCUCUUUAUAAGAAACAAAUAUAAAAGAGUUUCUUUGAUGAAAUCAUUCCAUAGAUUUGAUUUUGACAUAGGCGUUUUACCUUCAUUCAUUUAAAGAAAAUUAUCUUUAAAUAUUUUAUGGUCCAACUUCAGAUAUUUUCUUAAUCCAGAAGAUGUUAUUGUUCCCAGAAGAAAUGUCUUAUAUCACAUUGAAAACAUCAAAAAUCAUUACGUUUUCAUUUGUUCUAAUGGGUAAAUUAUUUGAAUUGUAAUAAACAACUGUAUAUUUACAAACAGGUUUAUAAAAUAUUUGUCUAUCAAGUUAAUAGUAAAAUAAAAAGUAUAGGGUCUGCAAGGACAAAUAUGAAGCCCACUUAAAGUGGUUCAGAGAUCUCUUUCAUCUUAUAGGGCAUAGGUUUUUGUUUAGACAGGCUUUUACAGUAUUUAAUUUUAAUGUUUCCUGUAACUGUCGGUUCCCCAGGUUGAAGAUGUUAGGUUUUCUACUGACUGGUUCCUGUCCUCCCCAGUGUUUGUCACUGGCUCACUAGAACAGUAUUUGUACAGCUCCACUGGCUCUAAAGCUCUUAGUCCUUCUAACGUUUUGGAUUUUAUGAGUAAAAAUGGGAAAAAGUAGAAAAGAGACAAUCAAAUGCCUGGAGCUUAAAACAAAGUAUGUGCAACCUACCAUCUCACUUGAAAUUUAAUAAAAUAAAUAAUUAUGUAAAUAUAACAUAGAGUUAUAGAUUUAUAUUUUGUUCAUAACACAUAGUGUAAUAUAAGUUGUAUAUUUUCUUGUUUUUGGUUUUAUGUUAUCAUUCAUGCCACAAUAAAAAUAAAACAGGAGUUUAUGUACUCUUAAAAAAAAAAAGAUGUGGGUUGCCACCAACCUGUUUUUUUUUUUUUUUCGGUUUGUUUUUUGUUUUUAUUUUUUGUUUUUGCAUUCUCUUUU